GCCUGGGUAGCUCAGUCGGUUGAGCGUCUGACUUCGGCUCAGGUCAUGAUCUCACAGUCUGUGGGUUCAAGCCCCGCGUCAGGCU
rnacentral:tRNA from 1 species